AGCGAACGCUGGCGGCAGGCCUAACACAUGCAAGUCGAACGAACUCUUCGGAGUUAGUGGCGGACGGGUGAGUAACACGUGGGAACGUGCCUUUAGGUUCGGAAUAACUCAGGGAAACUUGUGCUAAUACCGAAUGUGCCCUUCGGGGGAAAGAUUUAUCGCCUUUAGAGCGGCCCGCGUCUGAUUAGCUAGUUGGUGAGGUAAAGGCUCACCAAGGCGACGAUCAGUAGCUGGUCUGAGAGGAUGAUCAGCCACAUUGGGACUGAGACACGGCCCAAACUCCUACAGGAGGCAGCAGUGGGGAAUCUUGCGCAAUGGGCGAAAGCCUGACGCAGCCAUGCCGCGUGAAUGAUGAAGGUCUUAGGAUUGUAAAAUUCUUUCACCGGGGACGAUAAUGACGGUACCCGGAGAAGAAGCCCCGGCUAACUUCGUG
rnacentral:rRNA from 1 species